AUGGGAGCCCACCAGUCCCACAGCGGCCUCAUGCCAGCCCCAAAAUGGGGACCACCAGCCCCCACACCUGGAUCCAGCCCCUUUCCCCACUCCUGGCACCAGGGAAGCUGCUCCUGCCGGGAAAUCACAGCUGCAGCUGGCUGGGAUGUGGAACAUCCAUCCAAGACCUCCUGCAGCUCUGGGGUGUCCACUCCCAAACCUUCCCUGACCCCCAGACCCCCUCAGCCUCCUCCCGAAGGCCAGAGCAGAUGGGGGAGGCAACAGAAAGUUGGCAGAACCCCCAGGUCCUUGUGCAACAAUUCCAGUAUCCCGAUUUCCAGAGGUUUGCAGCACAGUGGGGACCUCAGGGGUCCUGGCAGGGGAAAUCAGAGUAAAACCCCCAGUAGAUGCUGGGAUUGGGGGAUCCCAUCCCCAGGAAAGUGCUGGGAGAGGGGGAUCCCACCCCUGGGAAGGGGAGGUGCCACCCUCCAGCCACCCUGGCUGGUACCACUGUGGCCACAGGGGAUAAUCCAGUGCCAGUCACUCACUGCACAGGGGUCUCCGAGGGGCCACUGGUCCUGGUUCCAUGGGGGAAAAGAUCCUGGAAACACCCUGGGCUGCUCUUUGCUGUGCAGGUUUUGGGGAUGGAAGCCACAGAGAGCUGAGGAUGGGAUCCAGGAAUGCUCCUGGCAGCUCCCAGUGUCCCCCAGCCUGGUGCCAGGCCUUGGCAUUGCCCACCUGCCGCUCCAGGAUGCCCUGCGGGGCGGGCAGGCCGAGGUGGGAGUGCUGGAAUCUGUGUGCCCGUGCUGGGUGACAUCCACCCAGGGCUCCUGGGAUAAGGACAUUCCCAAACUGAUGCUCAGGCCGGGUGGGAUGCUCAGCUCCUCUUCCAGGUUGGAAUGCCGGUGGCCGGUGACCUCCAGAGCCACCAGCACGGCUGAGAGGGAGCCGGAUCCCAGGAGCCGAGCCUGGCGUGGGAAAGCCGGGCUGGGAAAAGCCUCCUCAGAGAGCCACGGCUCCCCGGAGCGCUCCGUGAGAAAGGGGCGAUCUCAGGGUGGAAACCAAGGGCUGGAUCCUGAGAUCAUGGAUUUACAUCAUCCAGGGACUCAGCCCGCAAACAUCCUCCCAGGAUGA
rnacentral:lncRNA from 1 species